rnacentral:rRNA from 1 species
GACGAACGCUGGCGGCGUGCUUAACACAUGCCAGUCGAACGGUGAAGCGCCUUCCUUUUUGGUGGGUGUGGAUGAGUGGCGAACGGGUGAGUAACACGUGAGUAACCUGCCCCCUUCUUCUGGAUAACCGCAUGAAAGUGUGGCUAAUACGGGAUAUUCUGGGUCUGUCGCAUGAUGGGUCUGGGAAAGAUAUUGUUUCGGUGGGGGAUGGGCUCGCGGCCUAUCAGCUUGUUGGUGGGGUGAUGGCCUACCAAGGCGGUGACGGGUAGCCGGCCUGAGAGGGUGGACGGUCACACUGGGACUGAGACACGGCCCAGACUCCUACGGGAGGCAGCAGUGGGGAAUAUUGCACAAUGGGCGCAGGCCUGAUGCAGCGACGCCGCGUGAGGGAUGAAGGCCUUCGGGUUGUGAACCUCUUUCGCCAGUGAAGCAGGCCUGCCUCGUUUGUGGGUGGGUUGACGGUAGCUGGAUAAGAAGCGCCGGCUAACUACGUG